UGGGGCGUAGCCAAGCGGUAAGGCAGAGGACUUUGACUCCUCCAGUCGCUGGUUCGAGUCCAGCCGUCCCAGCCA
rnacentral:tRNA from 1 species